rnacentral:rRNA from 1 species
AGAACGAACGCUGGCGGCAUGCCUAACACAUGCAAGUCGAACGCCUGUAGCAAUACAGGAGUGGCGCACGGGUGAGUAACGCGUGGGAACCUACCCUGGAGUGGGGGAUAACCGAGGGAAACUUCGGCUAAAUACCUCAUACGACCUGAGGGUGAAAGAUUUAUCGCUCUAGGAGGGGCCCGCGUCGGAUUAGCUAGUUGGUAAGGUAACGGCCCACCAAGGCGAUGAUCCGUAGCUGGUCUGAGAGGAUGAUCAGCCACACUGGGACUGAGACACGGCCCAGACUCCUACGGGAGGCAGCAGUGGGGAAUAUUGGACAAUGGGGGCAACCCUGAUCCAGCAAUGCCGCGUGAGUGAUGAAGGCCUUAGGGUUGUAAAGCUCUUUCGGCGGGACGAUGAUGACGGUACCGCAGAAGAAGCCCGGCUAACUCGCGCCAGCAGCCGC